AUCCUGAGUACGGCGGAACACGAGAAAUUCCGUCGGAAUCCGCGGGGACCAUCCCGCAAGGCUAAAUACUCCCUAGUGACCGAUAGUGAACCAGUACCGUGAGGGAAAGGUGAAAAGCACCCCGGAAGGGGAGUGAAAUAGAUCCUGAAACCGUGUGCCUACAACAAGUCAAAGCUCGUUAAUGAGUGAUGGCGUGCCUUUUGUAGAAUGAACCGGCGAGUUACGAUUGCAUGCGAGGUUAAGUCGAAGAGACGGAGCCGCAGCGAAAGCGAGUCUGAAUAGGGCGAAUGAGUAUGUAGUCGUAGACCCGAAACCAUGUGAUCUACCCAUGUCCAGGUUGAAGGUGCGGUAAAACGCACUGGAGGACCGAACCCACGUACGUUGAAAAGUGCGGGGAUGAGGUGUGGGUAGCGGAGAAAUUCCAAACGAACUUGGAGAUAGCUGGUUCUCUCCGAAAUAGCUUUAGGGCUAGCCUCGGAAUUGAGAAUGAUGGAGGUAGAGCACUGUUUGGACUAGGGGCCCAUCUCGGGUUACCGAAUUCAGAUAAACUCCGAAUGCCAUUCAUUUAUAUCCGGGAGUCAGACUGCGAGUGAUAAGAUCCGUAGUCGAAAGGGAAACAGCCCAGACCACCAGCUAAGGUCCCAAAAUAUAUGUUAAGUGGAAAAGGAUGUGGGGUUGCACAGACAACUAGGAUGUUGGCUUAGAAGCAGCCACCAUUUAAAGAGUGCGUAAUAGCUCACUAGUCGAGUGACCCUGCGCCGAAAAUGUACCGGGGCUAAACAUAUUACCGAAGCUGUGGACUACACCAUUAGGUGUAGUGGUAGGAGAGCGUUCUAAGGGCGUUGAAGGUCGAUCGUGAGGACGGCUGGAGCGCUUAGAAGUGAGAAUGCCGGUAUGAGUAGCGAAAGACAGGUGAGAAUCCUGUCCACCGUAUGACUAAGGUUUCCUGGGGAAGGCUCGUCCGCCCAGGGUUAGUCGGGACCUAAGCCGAGGCCGAUAGGCGUAGGCGAUGGACAACAGGUUGAUAUUCCUGUACCAGUUGUUUUUGUUUGAGCAAUGGAGGGACGCAGUAGGCUAAGGAAUGCAUGCGAUUGGAAGUGCAUGUCCAAGCAAUGAGUCUUGAGUAGAGUUAAAUGCUUUACUCU
rnacentral:rRNA from 1 species